rnacentral:rRNA from 1 species
UACAGAGGUCUCAAGCGUUGUUCGGAUUCAUUGGGCGUAAAGGGUGCGUAGGCGGUGUGGAAAGUCAGAUGUGAAAUCCGGAGGCUCAACCUCCGAAUUGCAUCCGAUACUCCCGCACUAGAGGGUUGUAGGGGAGCUUGGAAUUCUCGGUGUAGCAGUGAAAUGCGUAGAUAUCGAGAAGAACGCUCGCAGCGAAAGCGGAGCUCUGGGCAACUUCUGACGCUGAUGCACGAAGGCUAGGGGAGCAAACGGG